GGCAAGUGUGUGGGGUGCCAAGCCCUCCAGAGACUGCUGCCUGGGAGGCUCGGAGGCCAAGUCUGGGCAGUGGGCCUUGCUCCACCAGGGGAGCCUCUGGGCACUCAGUUUGCCCAGCCCCAGGCCUGCGGACAUGGGGCUCUGUUCGUCACAUGCUUUCAUGGGGGGUGCACAUUGCUAAUUGCUGACUUGCAGGGAAUGUGGGCACGACCUUAACACCGGGGCCAAAAAUAACACCAUUCCUGGAACCAGAGCAAGGGAUGGAGUGGCAUCUGCCAGAGUGGCCGUGUCCGGCAAGAACACUGUGCCCUGGAAUAGCAGUUGGUGGCUGGCAGAGGGAACAGGUGACCCACAGGAACUGGGCCGAGUGGACCGAGAAUGCUGGUCUCCCUGGAACCUGGCAGGCCUCCCGCUGGCCUGGAGCUGACGCAGGUCUCCGACAAGGCAGCCAUCUGUCUUCAGAGCUUUGCUGCAGAACCACACGGACCCUGCUGGGAGGACACAGCUGCUGCAGGAAAAUAGCACCGAGCGGCGCUCCAGGACCCUCAGGUCUGCACAGCUGCUGGGCCGUCUCCAGCAGGCUGGCCCUGGCAUGGGGUGGGGAGAGCACAGUAGGUCCUCGGCCACACUGAGACUAAAAACAAGCCCCGCAGCCACUGCCUCGGGCACAAGUCCGUCCGCAGGCGUCUUCUGAAGCAUGGACUCAAACAACGGCCAAGAAAAUGCAAAAGAACAUCACAGACGAGGUCAUCUCGGGCAGAUUUCCACAGUCCACCACGGCCGGGGAUGCACUUGGCUGCAAACGGCGGGCCAGCUGGCCUGCACCCCACCCGGGUCGGGGUGAGUUUGGGGACGUAGUAAGGGCUCAGUAAAGACUUCGAGCCCCGGACUAAGCAACCUGCAGCGUGCGAGCCUCCCAGCUGGCUGAGGGUUGGAUCUCUGGGACGGCGUGGGAACAGGCCGGGCGUGUGUGCAGGCAGGCCCACGAUCCUGGCACACCGAGAGCUGGCAAGGGGGCAUCUCAGCGUGGUCAGACCUUGCUGAGGUGCGCCUCUCUCCCCCUCAUGCAUGUGUGCUGUCAUGAAUCAAAUAAAGGAAAAACCCUA